UGAGAAACCUGUUUUUGGUUAAAGAGC
rnacentral:piRNA from 1 species